UACGAAGGUCCCGAGCGUUGUUCGGAAUCACUGGGCGUAAAGGGAGCGUAGGCGGCGUGGUAAGUCAGAUGUGAAAUCCCGGGGCUCAACCCCGGAACUGCAUCCGAUACUGCCGUGCUCGAGGGUUGGAGAGGUAGCUGGAAUUAUCGGUGUAGCAGUGAAAUGCGUGGAUAUCGAUAGGAACACUCGCGGCGAAGGCGAGCUACUGGACAACAUCUGACGCUGAGGCUCGAAGGCCAGGGGAGCAAAAGGG
rnacentral:rRNA from 1 species